rnacentral:tmRNA from 1 species
GAUUAAAGACUGACUAAGCAUGUAGCGCCAUUAGUUAGACUGGUUUUGGACGCGGGUUCAACUCCCGCCAGCUCCACCA